GGUCGGGGUCAACGGCUGCUCUUUCUAGCUAAGUAGGUCGACCCCAUUUAAGCCUCAGUCCCGGUUAGCGUCUCUCUGACUGAGAGGAAACUUCUUUCAGUCUCGAGUAGGUCUGACCUGCCUCUUUGUUGGCUACGCAGUCUCAGAAGCCUGCCCAUUUACUUUGCAAACCGGACAGUGAUGUGGAACUUAGUCCUGCAAAUGAGCUGGGGUAAGGUAAUCAGUAUUCUCAGCUCUCUAUGCCUGAGGUAGAACAUCUGCCCUGUGAAUGGGGGCUGGCUAAAGGAAGCAAGCCUCUGAACUCUUGUCUGUACUCAUCAAAAUUUGUAUUGGAUGUGAUGAGUAUCCCUUCAAAUUUGUGUUGGACUUGAGGAAUGCUGGUUGCUUGCACUUCCCAUUGAGACACUAUAUCCCUUGAUUGAGAGCUGGAGGCAGAGGGAAUCCAGUCCUCUUGGCUAUUCUUACCAGGAAUGUAACUUGCAUCAAGGACAAUUUGCAGCAGUUUCCAACUGAAAAAAUACUCUUUGCCAGUUAUGGAUGUUUCACUUAGGGGACAGUUCCAUAGGGUUUUUUUAUGCCACAGUUAUGGAAGUGGAUCCCUUUCCCUACACUGACUUUUUUAGUAAAGUGAAAUUUUAUGAAGGUGAAAGAAGCCUGGCCUAAGCCAUGUGGAU
rnacentral:lncRNA from 1 species